rnacentral:rRNA from 1 species
GGCGAAUUCACUAGUGAUUCAGGCCUAACACAUGCAAGUCGAGCGGUAGAGAGAAGCUUGCUUCUCUUGAGAAAGGCGGACGGGUGAGUGAUGCCUAGGAAUCUGCCUGGUAGUGGGGGAUAACGUUCGGAAACGGACGCUAAUACCGCAUACGUCGUACGGGAGAAAGCAGGGGGCGUUCGGGCCUUGCGCUAUCAGAUGAGCCUAGGUCGGAUUAGGUAGUUGGUGAGGUAAUGGCUCACCAAGGCUACGAUCCGUAACUGGUCUGAGAGGAUGAUCAGUCACACUGGAACUGAGACACGGUCCAGACUCCUACGGGAGGCAGCAGUGGGGAAUAUUGGACAAU